UUCUCCAUGGACUUUACAGUGUUUCCUAGCCUCAGUGCAGUGGACAGCUGGGAGGAGGUGCUCUUAUUCUCCAUGGACUUUACAGUGUUUCCUAGCCUCAGUGCAGUGGGCAGCAGGGAGGAGGUGCUCUUAUUCUCCAUGGACUUUACAGUGUUUCCUAGCCUCAGUGCAGUGGGCAGCUGGGAGGAGGUGUUCUUAUUCUCCAUGGACUUUACAGUGUUUCCUAGCCUCAGUGCAGUGGACAGCUGGGAGGAGGUGCUCUUAUUCUCCAUGGACUUUACAGUGUUUCCUAGCCUCAGUGCAGUGGGCAGCUGGGAGGAGGUGCUCUUAUUCUCCAUGGACUUUACAGUGUUUCCUAGCCUCAGUGCAGUGGACAGCUGGGAGGAGGUGCUCUUAUUCUCCAUGGACUUUACAGUGUUUCCUAGCCUCAGUGCAGUGGGCAGCAGGGAGGA